GCUAUCGUAGCAUAAUCUGGUUUUGCCAAAGACCUAAACUCUUUUUAUAGAAGUUCAAAUCUUCUCGCUAGCU
rnacentral:tRNA from 1 species